rnacentral:rRNA from 1 species
UACGGGGGGGGCAAGCGUUGUUCGGAAUUACUGGGCGUAAAGGGCUCGUAGGCGGCCAACUAAGUCAGACGUGAAAUCCCCAGGCUCAACCUGGGAACUGCGUCUGAUACUGGUUGGCUUGAAUCCGGGAGAGGGAUGCAGAAUUCCAGGUGUAGCGGUGAAAUGCGUAGAUAUCUGGAGGAAUACCGGUGGCGAAGGCGGUUCUCUGGGCAUGACCUGACGCUGAGGAGCGAAAGUGUGGGGAGCGAACAGG